rnacentral:lncRNA from 1 species
GAGAAUUUGCUGCUGCGGGGGGACUCUUUCUGAGGUUACUGUGGAGCACCCAAAGUCUGUCAGCCUCUGGCCGUGCAAACAGGCACCCAGAGGAACCAGACCUUGCUUAUUCACCCACAGCCUGGGACUGUCUUCUCCAGAGUCUCCAUCAGCUUUGCUAAUCGACUGAUUGGAAAUAAUUCCUCAAACACCACCAAGUCAAGGAUACAGGUUUGGCUGGAGAUGGCAGCAGAGGGGAAGAUACGAUGCAAAACCAAGGAAAUCAAUACUUUUGUUUUAGUAUUGAGUGGAAAAGAAUGUUUUUACGGCAGCAGCGGCUCCCCUGUUGUAUGGACAUUCUGCACCCGAAACUGAUAGCUGAGUCCUGAAGUUUUAUGUUAUGAAACAGAAGAACUUUCAUCCCAGCACAUGAUUUGGGAAUUACACUUUGUGACAUGGAUGAAUCUGCACUGACCCUUGGUACAAUAGAUGUUUCUUAUCUGCCACAUUCAUCAGAAUACAGUGUUGGUCGAUGUAAGCACACAAGUGAGGAAUGGGGUGAGUGUGGCUUUAGACCCACCAUCUUCAGAUCUGCAACUUU